rnacentral:rRNA from 1 species
GACGAACGCUGGCGGCGUGCUUAACACAUGCAAGUCGAACGGAAAGUGCUCUUCGGAGUGACUCGAGUGGCGAACGGGUGAGUAGCACGUGGGUGAUCUGCCCUGCACUUCGGGAUAAGCCUGGGAAACUGGGUCUAAUACCGGAUAGGACCUCGGGAUGCAUGUCCUGUGGGUGAAAGCUUUUGCGGUGUGGGAUGGGCCCGCGGCCUAUCAGCUUGUUGGUGGGGUGAUGGCCUACCAAGGCGACGACGGGUAGCCGGCCUGAGAGGGUGACCGGCCACACUGGGACUGAGAUACGGCCCAGACUCCUACGGGAGGCAGCAGUGGGGAAUAUUGCACAAUGGGCGCAAGCCUGAUGCAGCGACGCCGCGUGAGGGAUGACGGCCUUCGGGUUGUAAACCUCUUUCAGCAUCGACGAAGCGCAAGUGACGGUAGGUGCAGAAGAAGGACCGGCCAACUACGUGCCAGCCGCCGCAGUAA